GACGAACGCUGGCGGCGCGCCUAACACAUGCAAGUCGGACGGGGAUCAUGUAGAAGCUUGCUUAGACAUGAUUUUAGUGGCGGACGGGUGAGUAACGCGUGAGGACUUGUCAGUUACAGGGGGACAACGGAUGGAAACGUCAGCUAAUACCCCAUAAGCCGAGAGGUAAAAGGAGCGAUCCGGUAACAGAGAGACUCGCGUUCCAUCAGCUAGUUGGAGGGGUAAAGGCCCUCCAAGGCGAAGACGGAUAGCCGGACUGAGAGGUUGGCCGGCCACAUUGGAACUGAGAAACGGUCCAGACUCCUACGGGAGGCAGCAGUGGGGAAUAUUGGGCAAUGGGGGAAACCCUGACCCAGCGACGCCGCGUGGGUGAAGAAAUCCUUCGGGAUGUAAAGCCCUGUUUUGCGGGAAGAAGCGAGUGACGGUACCGCAAGAGAAAGCCACGGCAAACUACGUG
rnacentral:rRNA from 1 species